AGAGUUUGAUCCUGGCUCAAGACGAACGCUGGCGGCGUGCCUAACACAUGCAAGUCAACGAGAAACGGGUAGCAAUAUCCGGAGUAAAGUGGCGCACGGGUGAGUAACGCGUAGGCUACUUGCCUUCAAGACGGGGAUAAUCUCGCGAAAGCGGGCCUAAUACCCGAUGACAUCCUGCAACAGCAUUGUUGUAGGAUCAACGGCCCCAAAGGGGUGCUUGAAGAUGGGCCUGCGUCCCAUUAGGUAGUUGGCGGGGUAACAGCCCACCAAGCCUGCGAUGGGUAGCUGGUCUGAGAGGAUGAUCAGCCACACUGGAACUGAGACACGGUCCAGACUCCUACGGGAGGCAGCAGUGAGGAAUAUUGCGCAAUGGCCGAAAGGCUGACGCAGCGACGCCGCGUGAGGGAUGAAGUCCGUUAGGAUGUAAACCUCUUUUGCAGGGGAUGAAUGUUCCCGAUUUAUCGGGACUUGACCGUACCCUGCGAAUAAGGAUCGGCCAACUACGUGCCAGCAGCCGCGGUAAUACGUAGGAUCCGAGCGUUGUCCGGAAUUACUGGGUGUAGAGGGCGUGUAGGUGGGCUUCUAAGUCGGUGGUGAAAUGCUGCAGCUUAACUGCAGAACUGCCUCCGAUACUGGAAGUCUUGAGUACGGCAGA
rnacentral:rRNA from 1 species